UACGAAGGGGGCUAGCGUUGCUCGGAAUCACUGGGCGUAAAGCGCACGUAGGCGGAUCUUUAAGUCAGGGGUGAAAUCCUGGAGCUCAACUCCAGAACUGCCUCUGAUACUGGGGAUCUUGAGUCCGGAAGAGGUAAGUGGAACUGCGAGUGUAGAGGUGAAAUUCGUAGAUAUUCGCAAGAGCACCAGUGGCGAAGGCGGCUUACUGGUCCGGUACUGACGCUGAGGUGCGAAAGCGUGGGGAGCAAACAGG
rnacentral:rRNA from 1 species